AGUGAACGCUGGCGGUAGGCCUAACACAUGCAAGUCGAACGGCAGCACAGUAAGAGCUUGCUCUUACGGGUGGCGAGUGGCGGACGGGUGAGGAAUACAUCGGAAUCUACUUUUUCGUGGGUGAUAACGUAGGGAAACUUACGCUAAUACCGCAUACGACCUACGUGUGAAAGCAGGGGAUCUUCGGACCUUGCGCGAUUGAAUGAGCCUAUGUCGGAUUAGCUAGUUGGCGGGGUAAAGGCCCACCAAGGCGACGAUCCGUAGCUGGUCUGAGAGGAUGAUCAGACACACUGGAACUGAGACACGGUCCAGACUCCUACGGGAGGCAGCAGUGGGGAAUAUUGGACAAUGGGCGCAAGCCUGAUCCAGCCAUACCGCGUGGGUGAAGAAGGCCUUCGGGUUGUAAAGCCCUUUUGUUGGGAAAGAAAAGCAGCAGGUUAAUACCCCGCUGUUCUGACGGUACCCAAAGAAUAAGCACCGGCUAACCUCGUG
rnacentral:rRNA from 1 species